AAGUAUACAAAUUUUAUACCAGACUCAAACACUUUGGAAUUAUUGAUAAAAUGAAUCACUGAAUAAUCAUUUUCAUGCUGUAAAAUUCUUUAAAUCACAAUCAUUCAAGUCACGGUGUUUCAAGCAUGUUCGUAUUUAACUUCUGACUAUCCCUCGUGAAAAAAUAACAAACGAAACGCAAUGAGCUCUCCAGUCUUACUUGACAGCAUCGCUUUUACCUGUGUAUAAACGCAGGUUAGAAAAAAUAGCCUAAGAACAAUUGUUUUAGAAAAGAAAAAAAAAAAAAAACUACGCAACAACAGAUACGAGAUGAAAAGCAAAGUUUCUCGGGAUAAACAUACCAAUAUACAUGUAGAACUGUUUGAAUAAUUAUAUAUUAUAACAAAGCGCCAGGGCUUAUUGCCUGAUAUUCAUUUUCAUGACAUUAGCAAUUCGUGUAAAAGUUUUUUCUUUUUUCCUAUAAUGAGCGUUGUAUUAUUACAACCCCUAAAGCAAAUAAUUGUCGCACAUAAUUGUUUAGCAACAAUUCAAAGUGCUGGAUCAUGCGAGAAGGAUAUUCAAGAUUAAAUGUGCUAUUUUAAUAAAUCAUCUAAAGAUUCAAACAAUUUCCUUUGGUAUGUAAGCAGCAGUCUUUGUGAUGCUGCAAUGAUCAUGCUGCAGGACAUUGCAGGGUGUGAUAAGAAUCCUGUGGCGACGUGUAUGUCCUGCAAAUUCUCGAAAUAUUAAUCGACAAUCAUUUCUAUAGUUUCGCUGGUGACAUACACGUCAAGUAACGUCGGGAUCGAGCACCAAAGGCUCGAUACAAGGUUAUUUGACAACCAAAAAAAAAAAAAAAAAAAUUAGAGGUAAACAAUAUUUUAUGGAUGUUCCCACUCUCACUGUAGUCACUGAAAGACUCGAUUAAAAUAUAAUACAUUUGAAUAGUUUAUGACUACCGCAGUAAUGUUGUCGUUUUUACAAAGUACUUAGUCGACGUAGUAUUAAUUAGUGUUGUUGUGACUGUAACGUAUGACCAACGUAAUCUACUGUUAUUAACUGCUUUGCGAUCCAUACAUAUAAUUUCAUCAAACUGAUUAAAAAAUGUGAGAUGCAAAUCCAGUUAGGUUGAUACAUUGUUAACAAACCCUUCAUGCACCAUGGUUUAACAUAUUUAUGACAACUGCUUGUUAUUCUACGGUUAAGUUAGUGAAAUAUUGUACGUAUACAUAAAUAUAUAUUUAAUAUAAUGUGUUUGUUGAAUGUCAAAUUUUAAUAUUAAAAUUCAAAGAUCAAAUUUC